rnacentral:rRNA from 4 species
UGCCCUAGUAACGGCGAGUGAAGCGGCAACAGCUCAAAUUUGAAAUCUGGCCCUCGGGUCCGAGUUGUAAUUUGUAGAGGAUGCUUUUGGUGCGGUGCCUUCCGAGUUCCCUGGAACGGGACGCCAUAGAGGGUGAGAGCCCCGUCUGGUUGGACACCAAUCCUCUGUAAAGCUCCUUCGACGAGUCGAGUAGUUUGGGAAUGCUGCUCUAAAUGGGAGGUAUAUGUCUUCUAAAGCUAAAUACCGGCCAGAGACCGAUAGCGCACAAGUAGAGUGAUCGAAAGAUGAAAAGCACUUUGAAAAGAGGGUUAAACAGUACGUGAAAUUGUUGAAAGGGAAGCGCUUGUGACCAGACUUGGGCCCGGUUAAUCAUCCAGCGUUCUCGCUGGUGCACUUGGCCGGCCCAGGCCAGCAUCAGUUCGGCGCGGGGGACAAAGGCUUCGGGAAUGUGGCUCCUCCGGGAGUGUUAUAGCCCGCUGCGUAAUACCCUGCGCUGGACUGAGGUUCGCGCAUCUGCAAGGAUGCUGGCGUAAUGGUCAUCAGCGACCCGUCUUGAAACACGGACCAAGGAGUCGUCUUCGUAUGCGAGUGUUCGGGUGUUAAACCCCUACGCGUAAUGAAAGUGAACGCAGGUGAGAGCUUCGGCGCAUCAUCGACCGAUCCUGAUGUUCUCGGAUGGAUUUGAGUAAGAGCAUACGGGGCCGGACCCGAAAGAAGGUGAACUAUGCCUGUAUAGGGUGAAGCCAGAGGAAACUCUGGUGGAGGCUCGCAGCGGUUCUGACGUGCAAAUCGAUCGUCAAAUAUGGGCAUG